UACAACGCGAGGAUGAGGAACAGUAGCAGCCGCCCGUCUGCACAGAGAGCCCCUGUCUGGUGAAAAGGGGAGAGAGAGCGGCUGUGAAUACCCCUCGGAGCGGCCUCUUGAACCGUCUUGUAGCGUAGUAGGGAGAGUCGGGUGCGCCCGUUAUCGCGCAGGGGUGUGUCGGCACCCCGUGAGGCCCGCGCCUGUGAGGGUAGGGCAACCAGAGGUGGUACCGCGUUUCGACGCCCUCUGU
rnacentral:ncRNA from 1 species